rnacentral:sRNA from 1 species
CAAACUUCGAUGGUUAGUUGGCGUAGA